UAAUACNGNAUAAUAAAGCAGAUCGCAUGAUCAGCUUAUAAAAGGCGGCGUAAGCUGUCGCUAUGGGAUGGCCCCGCGGUGCAUUAGCUAGUUGGUAAGGUAACGGCUUACCAAGGCAAUGAUGCAUAGCCGAGUUGAGAGACUGAACGGCCACAUUGGGACUGAGACACGGCCCAAACUCCUACGGGAGGCAGCAGUAGGGAAUCUUCCACAAUGGACGCAAGUCUGAUGGAGCAACGCCGCGUGAGUGAAGAAGGUUUUCGGAUCGUAAAGCUCUGUUGUUGGUGAAGAAGGAUAGAGGUAGUAACUGGCCUUUAUUUGACGGUAAUCAACCAGAAAGUCACGGCUAACUACGUGCCAGCAGCCGCGGUAAUACGUAGGUGGCAAGCGUUGUCCGGAUUUAUUGGGCGUAAAGCGAGCGCAGGCGGAAGAAUAAGUCUGAUGUGAAAGCCCUCGGCUUAACCGAGGAAUUGCAUCGGAAACUGUUUUUCUUGAGUGCAGAAGAGGAGAG
rnacentral:rRNA from 1 species